GCCCCGUCGUGCCCGGACC
rnacentral:snRNA from 1 species